rnacentral:rRNA from 1 species
GAUGAACGCUAGCUACAGGCUUAACACAUGCAAGUCGAGGGGAAACGGCAUUGAGUGCUUGCACUCUUUGGACGUCGACCGGCGCACGGGUGAGUAACGCGUAUCCAACCUUCCCAUUACUGUGGGAUAACCUGCCGAAAGGCAGACUAAUACCGCAUAGUCUUCGAUGACGGCAUCAGAUUUGAAGUAAAGAUUUAUCGGUAAUGGAUGGGGAUGCGUCUGAUUAGCUUGUUGGCGGGGUAACGGCCCACCAAGGCGACGAUCAGUAGGGGUUCUGAGAGAAAGGGCCCCAAAGUGGGAACUGAGACACGGUCAAAACGCCUGCGGGAGGAAGCAGGGGGGAAUGAUGGUCAAGGGAGGGAGGUCUAAACGAGGAAGGGGGCGGGAGGAAUGCCGGGCCUGGGGGGUUAAAACUGGUUUUGUAUGGGGAUAAAGUUAGGGACGAGGCCUUAUUUGCGGGAACCAGAAGAAAAAGACCCGGCAAAUUCCUU